AAAGUGGCGCACGGGUGAGUAACGCGUAAGUAAUCUACCUUUGCAUCUGGAAUAACUACGGGAAGCUGUAGCUAAUACCGGAUACGUUCUCCAUUCUACGGAUUGGAGAAGAAAGAUGACCUCUUCUUGAAAGUUAUCGUGCAAAGAGGAGCUUGCGUACCAUUAGCUAGUUGGUAGGGUAAUGGCCUACCAAGGCAACGAUGGUUAGCGGGUCUGAGAGGAUGAUCCGCCACACUGGAACUGGAACACGGACCAGACUCCUACGGGAGGCAGCAGUGAGGAAUAUUGCGCAAUGGGGGAAACCCUGACGCAGCGACGCCGCGUGGAUGAUGAAGGCCUUAGGGUCGUAAAAUCCUGUCAGAUGGGAAGAAAUGUAUAGGGGAAUAAUACCUCUUAUGCUUGACGGUACCAUCAAAGGAAGCACCGGCUAACUCCGUGCCAGCAGCCGCGGUAAUACGGAGGGUGCAAACGUUGUUCGGAAUUACUGGGCGUAAAGCGCGCGUAGGCGGUUUGUUAAGUCAGAUGUGAAAGCCCAAGGCUCAACCUUGGACGUGCAUUUGAAACUAGCAGACUUGAGUACUGGAGGGGAUGGUGGAAUUCCCGGUGUAGAGGUGAAAUUCGUAGAUAUCGGGAGGAAUACCGGUGGCGAAGGCGACCAUCUGGCCAGAUACUGACGCUGAGGUGCGAAAGCAUGGGGGAGCAAACAGGAUUAGAUACCCUGGUAGUUCCAUGCCGUAAACGAUGUCAACUAGGUGUUGGGGGCGGUUUAAUC
rnacentral:rRNA from 1 species